UAGUCUACGCCGUAGACGAUGCUCGCUCGGUGUGGGGAAACUCGACCUUUUCUCCGUGCCCAAGCUAACGCGUUAAGCGAGCCGCCUGUGUAGUACGAUCGCAAGAUUAAAACACAAAGGAAUAGACGGGGGCCCACACAAGCGGUGGAUUAUGGGGUUUAAUUCGUCAAUAAGCGAGUAACCUUACCAGGACUUGACAUCCUUAUCGUACCUUUCAGAAAUGAUUGGGUCAGUUCGGCUGGAUAAGUGACAGGCGCUGCAUGGUUGUCGUCAGCUCGUGCUUUGAGGUGUUCGGUUAAGUCCGUUAACGAGCGCAACCCACGUCGUAUGUUGUAUUUUCAUGCGAGACUGCCGGCCAUAAGCCGGAGGAAGGUGUGGACGACGUCAAAUCAGCAUGGCCCUUAUGUCCUGGGCUACACCCGUGAUACAAUGGUUGGUACAAACUGAAGCGAAGCGGCAACGUGGAGCAAAUCGGAGAAAACCAAUCUAAGUUCGGAUUGUGGUCUGCAACUCGACCACA
rnacentral:rRNA from 1 species